rnacentral:rRNA from 1 species
AAUGCUUAGGAAUCUGCCUAUUAGUGGGGGACAACAUUCCGAAAGGAAUGCUAAUACCGCAUACGCCCUACGGGGGAAAGCAGGGGAUCUUCGGACCUUGCGCUAAUAGAUGAGCCUAAGUCAGAUUAGCUAGUUGGUGGGGUAAAGGCCUACCAAGGCGACGAUCUGUAGCGGGUCUGAGAGGAUGAUCCGCCACACUGGGACUGAGACACGGCCCAGACUCCUACGGGAGGCAGCAGUGGGGAAUAUUGGACAAUGGGCGAAAGCCUGAUCCAGCCAUGCCGCGUGUGUGAAGAAGGCCUUUUGGUUGUAAAGCACUUUAAGCGAGGAGGAGGCUACCGAGGUUAAUACUCUUGAAUAGUGGACGUUACUCGCAGAAUAAGCACCGGCUAACUCUGUGCCAGCAGCCGCGGUAAUACAGAGGGUGCGAGCGUUAAUCGGAUUUACUGGGCGUAAAGCGUGCGUAGGCGGCUUUUUAAGUCGGAUGUGAAAUCCCUGAGCUUAACUUAGGAAUUGCAUUCGAUACUGGGAAGCUAGAGUAUGGGAGAGGAUGGUAGAAUUCCAGGUGUAGCGGUGAAAUGCGUAGAGAUCUGGAGG